AUACACACACACACACACGUGUGUGUGUAUAUAUAUAUAUACACACACACGUGUGUGUGUGUGUGUGUGUU
rnacentral:pre_miRNA from 15 species